rfam:Triticum aestivum genome assembly, contig: Triticum_aestivum_CS42_TGACv1_scaffold_020393_1AS
UAUGUACUCCCUCCGUUCGGAAUUACUUGUCGCGGAAAUGGGAAUUAUUUGUCGCGGAAAUGGAUGUAUCUAGACAUAUUUUAGUUCUAGAUACAUCCAUUUCUGAAACAAGUAAUUUCGAACGGAGGGAGUAGAUG